CACACUAUCAUUAACUGAAUCCAUAGGUUAAUGAGGCGAACCGGGGGAACUGAAACAUCUAAGUACCCCGAGGAAAAGAAAUCAACCGAGAUUCCCCCAGUAGCGGCGAGCGAACGGGGAGCAGCCCAGAGCCUGAAUCAGUGUGUGUGUUAGUGGAAGCGUCUGGAAAGGCGCGCGAUACAGGGUGACAGCCCCGUACACAAAAAUGCACAUGCUGUGAGCUCGAUGAGUAGGGCGGGACACGUGGUAUCCUGUCUGAAUAUGGGGGGACCAUCCUCCAAGGCUAAAUACUCCUGACUGACCGAUAGUGAACCAGUACCGUGAGGGAAAGGCGAAAAGAACCCCGGCGAGGGGAGUGAAAAAGAACCUGAAACCGUGUACGUACAAGCAGUGGGAGC
rnacentral:rRNA from 1 species